CUUCUGCAAGUCGUGUAAACAUGACCACUGGUUACUAUCCACAUAGCCGUCAAGGUAUAUUAUUUUUUCGCCAUUCACUCUUUUUUAUCAGUGUAUAUAAAUGGCUUUGUAUUUUACAGAUAUAAAUCAUGUUGUCUAUGUUAUAUGUCAUGUUUCCAGGUCUUGCAGACACCAAUUCUAGCAUGUUUGUGUCUAAUAUAACUAAUGCUGGAUCAUCUUCAAGAAGUCAUAAGUAUAUAGCUAAGAGGAAAUCUAGAUUAUGUGGAACUGAAACAACCAAGAACUUAUUUGAAGAGGACUUCACAGUCACACAAGAAAACAGCCCCAACACACGAGAGAAUUCAGCUUCACCUGAUGAUAUGUUCACGUAUGAAGAUGAUUUCUCGGACGACUCAGAUUAUAACUCCAGUGAAGAAUUUAUACAGGAGAUAUAGAAAUUGUUCUCGGUGAUCGGCAGAUUCGUACUAUAAUUGGAAAAAGAGCAUAUAAUGAAUAAUUUCUUUUUCAAUAUUAGGAUGGUAAUGAAGAAGCUUUCCCACAAGAGCUGAGAACUAUAAUCAAUCAAGACUAUAGUGUGAUUCUAAGGAUUACUGAAAUUAACACUGCAAAUAAAAUCAACAUCUACUCAGCAACUAACAUAUGCAAAGGCUUCCAAAAACCUGAAACAGAAGUGUAGGAAAUCAUGGAAACCAGUGAACAAAUUGAAACUGAGGUAAGAAGAAGAUGUUUACACUUAUUGUUCUGUUGCAAAUGAUAAAUAAUGAUUUUUUUUUUCCCGUAUUUCUUACAGGCAACAACUUCAACAUACCACCUUGAUGGAAUGUCAACACAAACAGCAAGGACUUAAAGCUAUGGUGGAUCACACAGCAGUCAUGAUUUUUUAUCAUAUGUCUUUAAUCUGUCUUCAAAAAAUAUUUGUGCUCAAGAAUGUAAUAUUGUAAACUUUGAACUUAUCAAGAUCACGGUCAAAA